CGGGGGUACACGGGCAAACCGGGGCUGCAGGGCUGGCCGGGUCGUGCAGGGCAGCCUGGCUUGGAUGGGUCCCCUGGCUUAGGGGGCAAACCUGGGCUGUGUGGGCUGCCUGGCGAGCAGGGGCUGCAGGGCUUCCGUGGGGACCGGGGGCUGGCUGGUGAGAAGGGAGAAGAGGGCUUCUUGGGUGACCCUGGACCUGCUGGGGAGAAAGGCGAGAAGGGAAUGAAGGGGGUGAAAGGGGAGAGCGGCCUGCCUGGUCCUGCUGGGGCUCACGGGAUGGCAGGUCUGAAGGGUGCAAUGGGCUUCCAGGGCCCUGCAGGGCCGGAGGGAGAAGGUGGUUCAGUGGGUGCCUCAGGCCCUGCUGGCCCUAUGGGACAGCCAGGC
rnacentral:lncRNA from 1 species